GACAGAGGGUGCAAACGUUGUUCGGAAUUACUGGGCGUAAAGCGUGCGUAGACGGUUGCGUAAGUCAGAUGUGAAAGCCCCGGGCUCAACCUGGGAAUUGCAUUUGAGACUGCGUAGCUAGGGUGCGGAAGAGGGAAGCGGAAUUUCCGGUGUAGCGGUGAAAUGCGUAGAUAUCGGAAGGAACACCGGUGGCGAAGGCGGGUCUCUGGGCCGAAAUUGACGCUGAGGAGCGAAAGCGUGGGGAGCAAACAGG
rnacentral:rRNA from 1 species